GGUGAGAUGGCCGAGUGGUUAUGGCGCUGCGUUCAGGUGAAGCCUGAAUAUACAUGUCCUGUAUACCUCCAUCUAUCAAGAUAAACAGCAGAUGAACAGAAAAUAUCGCAGUGGAGCAAUCCGCGUGGGUUCGAGUCCCACUCUCAUCA